GGUCAAGAUAGUAAGGGCGCACGGUGGAUGCCUCGGCACCCGAGCCGAUGAAGGACGUGGCUACCUGCGAUAAGCCUGGGGGAGCCGGUAGCGGGCGUUGAUCCCGGGAUGUCCGAAUGGGGGAACCCGGCCCGUGUGAACGCGGGUCAUCCACGCGCUGGUGCGUGUGGAGGGGAACGUGGGGAACUGAAACAUCUUAGUACCCACAGGAGAGGAAAGAGAAAUCGACUCCCUGAGUAGCGGCGAGCGAAAGGGGACGAGCCUAAACCGUCGGGCAUGCCCGGCGGGGUUGUGGGGCCCUCGAAUGCCGAAGCCCAGGUCUAGCCGAACCCUUCUGGGAAGGGGGGCCGGAGAGGGUGAAAGCCCCGUAGGCGAAAGGCUGGUGGCUAGGCGAGGGUACCCGAGUAGCCUGGGGUUCGUGGAGCCCUGGGUGAAUCUGCGCGGUCCACCGCGUAAGGCUAAGUACUCCGGGUGACCGAUAGCGAACCAGUACCGUGAGGGAAAGGUGAAAAGAACCCCGGGAGGGGAGUGAAAUAGAGCCUGAAACCGUGCGCUUACAAGCAAUCACGGCGCGACGCCUGUUGUGGGCUAGCGUUGUGGUGUGCCUAUUGAAGCAUGAGCCUGCGACUCACGUUUACCGGCGAGGUUAAGCCGUGAGGCGAAGCCGUAGGGAAACCGAGUCCGAAGAGGGCGUGGAGUCGGUAGGCGUGGACCCGAAACCGGGUGAGCUAGCCCUGGCCAGGCUGAAGCGCGGGUGAAACCGCGUGGAGGGCCGAACCGGUGGGGGAUGAAAACCCUUCGGAUGAGCUGGGGUUAGGAGUGAAAAGCUAACCGAACCCGGAGAUAGCUGGUUCUCCCCGAAAUGACUUUAGGGUCAGCCUCAGGUUUCAAUUCGGGCCUGUAAAGCACUGAUAGGGCUAGGGGGCCUACCAGCCUACCAAACCCUGUCAAACUCUGAAGGGUCCGAAUGGUGGCCUGGGAGUGAGGGUACGGGCGAUAACGUCCGUAUCCGAGCGCGGGAACAACCGAGACCGCCGGCUAAGGUCCCGAAGUCUGGGCUAAGUGGGGAAGGAUGUGGGGCUGCUGAGACAGCCAGGAGGUUGGCUUAGAAGCAGCCAUCCUUUAACGAGUGCGUAAUAGCUCACUGGUCGAGUGGCCCUGCGCCGAAAAUGAUCGGGGCUUAAGCCCAGCGCCGAAGCCGCGGGUCUAGGGCUGUUUAGUCCUAGGCGGUAGGGGAGCGUUCCCUAUGCUGAUGAAGGCGGACCGCGAGGGCCGCUGGAGGCUUGGGAAGUGCGAAUGCAGGCAUGAGUAACGAUAAGGAGGGUGAGAAUCCCUCCCGCCGAAAGCCCAAGGGUUCCUACGCAAUGGUCGUCAGCGUAGGGUUAGGCGGGACCUAAGGCGAGGCCGAGAGGCGUAGCCGAAGGGCAGCCGGUUAAUAUUCCGGCCCCACUCCGCUGGAGCGAUGGGGGGACGCUUUAGGCUAGGCGGACCGGAGCCAUGGAUGAGCCCGGCGGCCUGUCCGGGGGCGGCGUGUAGGCAAAUCCGCACGCCAUGAGCUCGCGGCUGGUCGGGAAGCCCUUUUGGGUGAUAACCCGCUGAAGCCAGGGAGCCGAGAAAAGCCUCUAAGCGAUGAAGGCGGAGUGCCCGUACCGGAAACCGACACAGGUGGGCGGGUGUGAGAGCACCGAGGCGCGCGGGAGAACCCUCGCCAAGGAACUCUGCAAGUUGGCCCCGUAACUUCGGGAGAAGGGGUGCUCCGUUAGGGUGAUGAGCCCGAGGGAGCCGCAGCGAAGAGGCUCUGGCGACUGUUUACCAAAAACACAGCUCUCUGCGAACCCGUAAGGGGACGUAUAGGGAGCGACGCUUGCCCGGUGCCGGAAGGUCAAGGGGAGGGGUUAGCGCCCCGAACCGAAGCCCCGGUGAACGGCGGCCGUAACUAUAACGGUCCUAAGGUAGCGAAAUUCCUUGUCGGGUAAGUUCCGACCUGCACGAAAAGCGUAACGACCGGAGCGCUGUCUCGGCGAGGGGCCCGGUGAAAUUGAACUGGCUGUGAAGAUGCGGCCUACCCGUGGCAGGACGAAAAGACCCCGUGGAGCUUUACUGCAGCCUGGCAUUGGUCUUUGGGCGCUCUUGUGUAGGAUAGGUGGGAGCCUGUGAAGCCAGCCCGCCAGGGUUGGUGGAGGCGCCGGUGAAAUACCACCCUGGGGCGUCUGGGGAUCUAACCCCAUGUUCGUAGUGGGGGACAGUGCUUGGUGGGCAGUUUGACUGGGGCGGUCGCCUCCUAAAGGGUAACGGAGGCGCCCAAAGGUUCCCUCAGGCGGGUCGGAAAUCCGCUGGUGAGCGCAAGGGUAGAAGGGAGCCUGACUGUGAGGCCUGCGAGCCGAGCAGGGGCGAAAGCCGGGCCUAGUGAACCGGUGGUUCCGUGUGGAAGGGCCAUCGAUCAACGGAUAAAAGUUACCCCGGGGAUAACAGGCUGAUCUCCCCCGAGCGUCCACAGCGGCGGGGAGGUUUGGCACCUCGAUGUCGGCUCGUCGCAUCCUGGGGCUGAAGAAGGUCCCAAGGGUUGGGCUGUUCGCCCAUUAAAGCGGCACGCGAGCUGGGUUCAGAACGUCGUGAGACAGUUCGGUCUCUAUCCGCCACGGGCGCAGGAGGCUUGAGGGGAGCUGCUCCUAGUACGAGAGGACCGGAGUGGACGCACCUCUGGUUUCCCGGCUGUCCUUCCUGGGGCAUACGUCGGGUAGCCAUGUGCGGACGGGAUAACCGCUGAAAGCAUCUAAGCGGGAAGCCCACCCCGAGAUGAGGCCUCCCACAGGGUGAACCUGGUAAGGACCCCGCGAGACGAGCGGGUUGAUAGGCCGGGGGUGUAAGCAGGGCGACCUGUUGAGCCGACCGGUCCUAAUCGUCCGAGGUCUUGACCCU
rfam:Marinithermus hydrothermalis DSM 14884, complete genome.